AGGCAGCAGUAAGGAAUAUUGCGCAAUGGGCGAAAGCCUGACGCAGCGACGCCGCGUGGGGGAUGAAGGUCUUCGGAUUGUAAACCCCUUUCGGGAGGGAAGAUGGAGCGAGCAAUCGUUCGGACGGUACCUCCAGAAGCAGCCACGGCCAACUUC
rnacentral:rRNA from 1 species